rnacentral:lncRNA from 1 species
UUAACCGACUGAGCCACCCAAGUGCCCUGGAAAUACUGAGGAUAAAGGAACAAGUUCAGUGCCAUCGCAAAGGCACAAGACAGACAAAUCCGGAAUAGAGGACGUUGUACAGGAUAACUGGGCUGUUUUCUUCAAAAAGGUAAUAGUAUGAAGAAGGGUGAGAGCAAGGAAUGCUCUAGAUUAAGAGAGCGUGGACUUGGGGUGCCUGGCUGACUCACCAAAGGAAAACGAGACGCUUGAUCUCAGGGUUGUGAGUUUGAGCCCCAUGCUGGGUGUAGAGA